GGAAGAAAUACUUCCAGUGUGCUUCAGUGGAGGGAAAUUCUCGCAGAGAUUGAGCUGUCUGGUCCCACUGAAGGGCUGCCGGCAGAGGCCCUGCAGCGGGAUUGACGUUGCAGUAAUUACCAGGCCCAUGGGCCCUCCGACCCCGCUUCACCACGAGGCAUGCUGGCAGCAGAUCUGAGGAUCGCUGGCAUUAUCUCAGCACCAAAGACCCAAAGGCAAGUUGUCACCUGAACUGCAGAGAAAUCAGUGCUAGCAGUGGGAGGCAGGGCUUGUUAGUGCUGAGGAAAACAAUGCGAUCUCUUCCCAGUGGGGCUGAAGGAGUUUAAAGGAGAAACAUCUCCAUCAGAAAGUGACCAGGAAUGAAAUGUUCUCCCAGUGCUCAUGCAGAACUGCACGUCGACAGAAGAAAACAACUGAUGUCUAUUUUCUGUCUGAAAGAAUUCCUGCGGCUCCAACUCAAACAAAAACUAUCCCAAACAGAGCUGAAGAUAAUAAGCCAAAAAUUCAGAGGAACUGCGUUCACUUUGACCAGAUCCGAUCCACAUUGUCUACAGAGACUUCUAUCUGCACAAAUAACCUCGUUGGACUAUUGCACUCUUGGCAUUUUGGUAAGGAACAGUUUUGAGUAGAUCUAUAUUAAGGCCAUAUUUUGAUCCAACGCACAAGCAUGGAACUGUCUCACUCCCUCCUCUCUCAUGUGGAGCGCUACCUGGAGAAAAGAAACAGCACUGACUUUGAAUAAUCCAGUCUGGAGCGGGGCCAGGGCUUGGGCUCCUCCUUGCCAGCUGCAGGGCCCCAGUGCUGCGAAUGCUUCCAAAGGCUGCGUUGCCUCCAUGAGUGCCAGAAUGGAUCAACACACCGGCUCCAGCCAGAAGUGGACUCAAAGUAGCUGUUGUUCCUUCUCCCUAAGGAGCAUUUUCAGAGGAAUGCAUCAGAGAACUUUCUCAGCACUGAGAUUUCUCCCCAGUCAUCUGGCACCUCUCUCCUCAUCAUGCGUUGCUUCAAACCACCCAGAGAAAAUUUAAAUCAUACAGUUUCACAAGAUCACGAGCCUCCUGUACUAUAUUCUUUUCCUCUCAUGAUCUAAUGACCACAGCUUGGGAAAUUCUGCCAUGUUUCUAACUUGAGGA
rnacentral:lncRNA from 1 species